GAUGAACGCUGGCGGCGUGCCUAAUACAUGCAAGUCGAGCGAACAGACGAGGAGCUUGCUCCUCUGACGUUAGCGGCGGACGGGUGAGUAACACGUGGAUAACCUACCUAUAAGACUGGGAUAACUUCGGGAAACCGGAGCUAAUACCGGAUAAUAUAUUGAACCGCAUGGUUCAAUAGUGAAAGACGGUUUUGCUGUCACUUAUAGAUGGAUCCGCGCCGCAUUAGCUAGUUGGUAAGGUAACGGCUUACCAAGGCAACGAUGCGUAGCCGACCUGAGAGGGGGGUAGCCAACAUGAGAGGGGGACCGGGCACAGGCCGCCUGAGGGAGGGGCCAGACGGAUACGUGCGGCAUGGGGGGAAAGCAUGGCGGACAAGGCGGGGGGGUGAGGCAAAGGCGUCGGGUGCUAAAACCCUGUUUUUGGGGUAGAAACAGAUGUGAAAUGAAAUAUACCGUGCUUGACGGUACUUAAUAAAAAAGCAACGGCUAACUACGUG
rnacentral:rRNA from 1 species